rnacentral:misc_RNA from 1 species
AAGAAGUGAAAGAUUUGUAGAAAGUUUGAAAAUUUUAGAGGAAACUUGAGAGAUAAAGCGAGAUAUAGAAGUUUAAAACUUCCCAAACUAGAAACAAAGCAUGAGGAAGGGCUCUGCCCCCAUCCAGACUGGGAAAAAAAAGAAAAAGCAAGGUAACCGACGGUUGCCGUCACAUAAUAGUAAAUAACAGCUGUUGCCAUUAUGUAAAGUCCAUUACGGGAACCCUUUUUUUUUUGUGUUUAAAUAACAGGUGUUACGGUAUUGGGAUACUAAAAGUCCUGUAAAGAGCGGCUGUUAUGUUUCGUAAAGGCCAUUACUUGAAACCAUGAUUAGAAAGCAGUGGAUGGAGUUUUGUAGUAAGAACUUGAGGGAUAUGGAAAAACUCAUCAAUUUAAAGGAAACAGAAUAAGAUAAUCUCUAAACGUGGAACAAACAUGCAAAUUUUACAAGAGAAAUUGAGGAAGGUGUUACUGGCAUUGAAAUUUCUUGAAAGAUUGUCUAGUUUUUGGCUGGGACAUCCACCUAGAAUGGGAAUAUCUAUAACUGGCUAUGCUGCUGUCAUUAGUUAUAGUUAAAUUUUCUUUGCAUUGUUUCUUGCUUUCAAGUUUAUAUUCAUUCUUAAUUUUAAUUUUUUUGGGUUUCAUGAUUACUUUGGUCACUUGCUUCUUUCACUUCCCCUAACAUCCCUCAAAAGAAAAAGAAAGAAAAAAGGGCAAGAAAGAGUAAAGAAGAAGAUGAAAAUUUAAAAUUAAGAAUCAAAUGGGGCUUUUAAAAUUCUGACAGUUGAAAAAGGACAGUUUUCAGUAGAAGGAUAUAUAUUGUUGAAUGCUUGAAAAAAGGGGAAAAAAGAGGAGGAUUUAAAAUUAAAAACUAAAUGUGGCUUUAAAAAUUUUGAUAGCUGAAAAAAUGGACAGUUUUUACUAGAAUGAUUUGCAUUGUUGAAAGCAUGGAAGAAGGAAAUUUUAUGUAUUU